UCUGAUACCUGGAAGUAGGGUGCUACCAUAAUAAGUACCUACAAAUGUGGAAAUGAUUUUGACACUGGGCAGUGGACCAUCUUCCCUGAGCGAAGCCAGCUGCCAUGUCACAAGGCUGCUCAAGCAGCCCCCAGGAAAGGUCAUGUAGUCCGUGUAGAGACUGACUGAGAUUCUCUGCCAAUAGACAUAAGUGAAUCAUCUUGGAAGCAGAGGAGUCCAGUCCUGGUCAACAUCUUGACUGUAAUUUCAUGAGAAACCCUGAGCCAAAACCACCCAACUAAGCCAAAAACCAAUUUCAUGACCCAUAAAGAAAUGUGAGAUAAUAGA